CGAGUUAUGAUCCAGAGUACCACGAGACACGUGAAACCUUGUGGGAAGCAGGGAGGACCACCUCCCAAGGCUAAAUACUACCUGAUGACCGAUAGUGAAGCAGUACCGUGAGGGAAAGGUGAAAAGAACCCCGGGAGGGGAGUGAAAUAGAACCUGAAACCGUGUGCCUACAACCGCUCAGAGCCCCUUAUGAGGGUGAUGAGGUGCUUUUUGUAGAACGAGCCAACGAGUUACGGUAUGUAGCAAGGUUAAGUACUUAAGGUACGGAGCCGAAGGGAAACCGAGUCUGAAUAGGGCGACUAGUUGCAUGCCGUAGACCCGAAACCGGGUGACCUAUCCAUGGCCAGGUUGAAGCGAGGGUAAAACCUCGUGGAGGACCGAACCACGUUGCUGUUGAAAAAGCAUGGGAUGAGCUGUGGAUAGCGGAGAAAUUCCAAUCGAACCCGGAGAUAGCUGGUUCUCUCCGAAAUAGCUUUAGGGCUAGCGUCGAGUAUGAGUAGUGGAGGUAGAGCACUGAAUGGGCUAGGGGGCAUAGCGCUUACCGAACCUUAUCAAACUCCGAAUGCCACAUACUUUGAGCUCGGCAGUCAGACUACGAAUGAUAAGAUCCGUGGUCAAAAGGGAAACAGCCCAGAUCGUCAGCUAAGGUCCCAAAGUGUAAGUUAAGUGGGAAAGGAUGUGAGAUUUCUAAGACAACUAGGAUGUUGGCUUAGAAGCAGCCAUUCAUUAAAAGAGUGCGUAAUAGCUCACUAGUCGAGAGAUCUUGCGCCGAAAAUGUAACGGGGCUAAACUUACCACCGAAGCUACGGGCUUGAACUUAGUUCAAGCGGUAGGAGAGCGUCGUAACCGGGCUGAAGUCGUACCGUAAGGAGCGGUGGACUGGUUACGAGUGAGAAUGUUGGCAUCAGUAGCGAGAUGUGGGUGAGAAUCCCACAGGCCGAAAACCUAAGGUUUCCUCAGGAAGGUUCGUCCGCUGAGGGUUAGUCGGGACCUAAGCCGAGGCCGAAAGGCGUAGGUGAUGGACAACUGGUUGAUAUUCCAGUACCACUACCAUCGUUAUUAUCGAUGGCGUGACGCAGGAGGAUAGUGUGUGCUAGCUAUUGGAUGCUAGUCUAAGCGUUUAGGCAGUGAGAGUAGGCAAAUCCGCUCUCAUAAUGCUGAGGCGUGAUGGGGAAGGUUCUACGGAACCGAAGUACAUGAUUCCACGCUGCCAAGAAAAGCGUCUAGAGAGAGAAGUAGUGCCCGUACCGCAAACCGACACAGGUAGGUGAGGAGAGAAUCCUAAGGCCGGCGGAAGAAUUACAGUUAAGGAACUCGGCAAAUUGACCCCGUAAGUUCGCGAGAAGGGGUGCCUACGAGAGUAGGCCGCAGAGAAUAGGCCCAAGCAACUGUUUAGCAAAAACACAGGUCUCUGCUAAAGCGUAAGCUGAUGUAUAGGGGCUGACGCCUGCCCGGUGCUGGAAGGUUAAGGGGAACACUUAGCGCAAGCGAAGGUGUGAACUUAAGCCCCAGUAAACGGCGGCCGUAACUAUAACGGUCCUAAGGUAGCGAAAUUCCUUGUCAGGUAAGUUCUGACCCGCACGAAUGGCGUAAUGACUUGGGCACUGUCUCAACUGUAAAUCCGGCGAAGUUGUAGUGCGAGUGAAGAUGCUCGCUACCCGCGAUUGGACGGAAAGACCCCGUAGAGCUUUACUGUAGCUUAGCAUUGAGUUUUGGUAUUGUCUGUACAGGAUAGGUGGGAGACUAGGAAACCAGGGCGUCAGCCUUGGUGGAGUCAACCUUGGGAUACCACCCUGACAGUACUGAAAUUCUAACUGGCGGCCAUGAAUCUGGUCACAGGACAUUGUUAGGUGGGCAGUUUGACUGGGGCGGUCGCCUCCUAAAAAGUAACGGAGGCGCCCAAAGGUUCCCUCAGAACGGUCGGAAAUCGUUCGAAGAGUGCAAAGGCAGAAGGGAGCCUGACUGCGACACCCACAAGUGGAGCAGGGACGAAAGUCGGGCUUAGUGAUCCGGUGGUACCUCGUGGGAGGGCCAUCGCUCAACGGAUAAAAGCUACCUCGGGGAUAACAGGCUGAUCUCCCCCAAGAGUCCACAUCGACGGGGAGGUUUGGCACCUCGAUGUCGGCUCGUCGCAUCCUGGGGCUGAAGUAGGUCCCAAGGGUUGGGCUGUUCGCCCAUUAAAGCGGCACGCGAGCUGGGUUCAGAACGUCGUGAGACAGUUCGGUCCCUAUCCGUCGCGGGCGUAGGAAAUUUGAGAGGAGCUGUCCUUAGUACGAGAGGACCGGGAUGGACUGACCUCUGGUGUACCAGUUGUUCCGCCAGGAGCACAGCUGGGUAGCUAAGUCGGGAAUGGAUAAACGCUGAAAGCAUCUAAGCGUGAAGCCAACCUCAAGAUGAGAUUUCCCAUAGCGUAAGCUAGUAAGAUCCCUUGAAGAACACAAGGUUGAUAGGUCGGGGGUGUAAGCAUGGUAACAUGUUCAGCUGACCGAUACUAAUAGAUCGAGGGCUUGACCAAAU
rnacentral:rRNA from 1 species